UACGUAGGUGUCAAGCGUUAUCCGGAAUUAUUGGGCGUAAAGAGCGCGCAGGUGGUUGAUUAAGUCUGAUGUGAAAGCCCACGGCUUAACCGUGGAGGGUCAUUGGAAACUGGUCGACUUGAGUGCAGAAGAGGGAAGUGGAAUUCCAUGUGUAGCGGUGAAAUGCGUAGAGAUAUGGAGGAACACCAGUGGCGAAGGCGGCUUUCUGGACAGCAACUGACGCUGAGGCGCGAAAGCGUGGGGAGCAAACAGGAUUAGA
rnacentral:rRNA from 1 species